rnacentral:rRNA from 1 species
AUGAACGCUGGCGGCGUGCCUAAUACCUGCAAGUCGAGCGCACAGAUCAGGAGCUUGCUCCUUUGACGUUAGCGGCGGACGGGUGAGUAACACGUGGAUAACCUACCUAUAAGACUGGGAUAACUUCGGGAAACCGGAGCUAAUACCGGAUAACAUAUUGAACCGCAUGGUUCAAUAGUGAAAGGCGGCUUUGCUGUCACUUAUAGAUGGAUCCGCGCCGUAUUAGCUAGUUGGUAAGGUAACGGCUUACCAAGGCAACGAUACGUAGCCGACCUGAGAGGGUGAUCGGCCACACUGGAACUGAGACACGGUCCAGACUCCUACGGGAGGCAGCAGUAGGGAAUCUUCCGCAAUGGGCGAAAGCCUGACGGAGCAACGCCGCGUGAGUGAUGAAGGUCUUCGGAUCGUAAAACUCUGUUAUCAGGGAAGAACAAAUGUGUAAGUAACUGUGCACAUCUUGACGGUACCUGAUCAGAAAGCCACGGCUAACUACGUG